UGAUGACCAUGCUUGCCCAACUUAGCAGACUUUUUCAGAGAGCCAAUGUGGAUGGGAGAGAGACCAGAGAGGGGAGGAAGGAUGCUGGCCUUCCAUCUGAGCGUAAUGAAGGACGAAGGAGGUGGACUUGGCGAAUACAGACAACGUCCCCUGUACCUGUCACAAGCAAGAAGCAGUUUGAGAAGGAAGAGGAGGAGCUGACAAAGAGAUCCAGCUCAUUACCCAGGAGACAAAUGAGCUGAGAGAUAGCCUGAUCUAUGCCCUACCACAGGCAAAAUCCUCUUUAUGAACAAUUGAAGUUAAAGGAGAAGGAGAUAAUGACAUUUCUACACAACUUAGAGAUGGAGACCAUGGAGGCCCGAGAGAACAACCAGGAGCUCAAGGAGAUAAAUUUCUAUCAGUAAGUUCUUUAACCUGUCCAGCCGGCUCCUGAUGGAGAAGAAUCUUAUAAAGAAGAAGUUGGUGAUGUUGCAGCAGGAGAGCAAGGAAGUACAGGCUGAUUUGGCCAUCAUCCAUCAAUAUUUAGUGGACUUGAACCUGAGUGGUAAAAAGGAACAAACAGGAGAAGACCAGCAACACUGUAACUGCCUUCCUCUCCCAGGUCUCAGAAACUGCAAGAGAGCUGGGAUUGGCCACAGCAGAAGAGAGCAUCUUGCAGAAUGAGUUGCCACACCAGGAGGCCCCUACUGAACACCAUCCCCAGCAUCCACAAUCUUCCUUGGAUGAAUCUUC
rnacentral:lncRNA from 1 species